GACCGCGUAGCUCAGUUGGCAGAGCAUUGUGCUAGUAUUCCAAAGGUCGUAGGUUCGAUUCCCACCGUGGUCA
rnacentral:tRNA from 1 species